UGAAGUUUGACUUAGAAGUUCUAACAUA
rnacentral:piRNA from 1 species